UUAGAUAGUUCAUAUGUGUGUCUAAACAAUUAAGACUAAUUGCCAAACCUCACAAUUCAAAUCAUGGAAAGGGAUACCGUAACCAUAAUCGAAUUCGAGAAUGCAAUUUUACAAUCACUAUCUUCUUAAAAUCUUUCUUAGUGAAAACAUUUCCUCACAAUCAUUUUCAUGAAGGAGGAAAUCUUAUGAAACUUAGAUUUAAACGGUGUAUGUGUUCCUAUCCAUGUGAAUUUGUUAAAACCAAAGUUUACGACAAAUUCAAACUCAUAUGGAUCGAACUUUCUUAAUCUCGAUUUCUUGCCUUAUGGUAGCACAACUGCCCACCAUGUCUUCCAAGUAGUUAAGCAGCUCACUUUUUCUUAUCAAUGUACUUUCCAUUGAUCAAGGCCCUUGCCUUUUAUGCAUUCAAAUGAGAACUCAUAGGACUCACAUGCAUAAUUAACUCGAUUGGAUUGGCACAAAAACAAAAUAAUGUCAACACGAUAGGUUGUAAACCUCAACUCGUGUGCUAGUGAUGAUCGAUAAGGUUUAUUUUGAUUUGUUCUUGAAACCAUUCAAGACCAUUAAGACUCCCAUUGACUCCUUGACAUAUAAGAUUCUCUUGUCAAUAAACAUUUCUUGACAAACAAAUAUUCAAGAGUUAGUGUAGUUUUUAUCAAAACACUUCAUAAAUUGGUCUUAGUUGGUCUUUGUCUUAUCCAAGACAUCACAACUUUCCACAUUUGGUGAUUGUUAUAAACCUUCUUAACACUUAUCACUCAAUUUCACAAUCUUAAUUUUUGAGAACGAAGUAUGAUUGACUUAUUGAUUUUACCAUUUCUUCAAUUCUUGAUUCCUCUUCCUAGACAUGCAAUUGUACUAAGACUCACUUAGAGGAUUAAUUGAGAUAUGGUUCUUAAUUAUUAAGACUUAUCAUAAAGCAUAAAGGUACUCUCCCUUCUUCGUAGAAUAGAGAAACUUUUAUCUUUCUGCCUACUUGAUUCUUUUUAUUCAUUCUGCUAUUGAUUUAAACUCUUUCAAUANUACUAAACCUUUAGUAAAUCAUGACGAAUAUCUCUCUUUUUUUACUCUUAUGGUGGACUUUGGUCAACACACAACUUUGUGUACUCGAUCUCCUAGUCCUUCACNNNNNNNNNNNNNNNNNNNNNNNNNNNNNNNNNNNNNNNNNNNNNNNNNNNNNNNNNNNNNNNNNNNNNNNNNNNNNNNNNNNNNNNNNNNNNNNNNNNNCCUUUCUCUCCAUAAUUCAUCCUAUCAAGUUGCUUUGGUGAUGGCUACCCAAAAGGACCAUGUAACAUCGGGUCAAGUACAUACCAAAAUAGUUAUGGACUAACACUAAUCCAACAGUCUCCCACUUGGAUAAGUCUAAUAACUAUUAUGCGUAUGACUUCAGAUCCUGAUAUGCAAUCUUAANAAGACGCUGUCAACUCUGAUCCUAUCAGAUACGCGUGUCCUUUAGAUAAGGGAUCAUAUAUUCCUCCAUUCUAGAUAUCAUGUGAGACAUGAUUUCAAAUCAUUCUCUUUGUACUAUAUCUCGACUUCCGAUUUAUGACGACUGACUAAUUGAACAAAUCAAAUUAGUCCUAGCCCGGCCGAGCAUUUACGUUUGUCAUCACUAAAUCAUCGAGGGGCCCAAAAAUAUCGCUUUUAUCCUACUUUGGAUAAAAGGAACGGAUAAAGAUUGAUACAAUGCUUGCUUGCACUCACUCACCGAAUUACACACAACAAUAUUGUGACAACCCGAAAUUUCCAUUUGUACGAACAUUAUCUAUUCAAUAGAAGCUAGUCCAGUUUCUGUAAUUUUCAGACUUGUCCCAACAAGUUUGCGUACUUUAGGGUUUAUGUUUCUGGACAUAUCAGGAGAGUGGAUGCUCCAGUAAUUGUGAAACUUGAGCAUUGUAAGUUUCCUAAUGUUAUAGUCCGACUUCCGGAAUAAAAAUAUUUUCUGUCAAAAUAUUCCAGGACUAUAAAUAGAUUUCUGAAUUUAAUUAAUUCAUUAUUCACAAUUCCAACUAGAGAAACGCCAAUUCUCUCUGACGGAUCUUCGGGUUUUCAUCCUGGAUUGUGAGUCUACUUUCCUAAACGUGUUCAAUACUUGUUAUAUGCUUUAUAACAUCAAUUAUAUGUCUAAACUGCAAGAUCCGAGAGUUUACCGCCCAAGAACGUUCUUGGGGAGUAAACUCCAAAACGGAGCCUAAAGGCUUCCUAGUCCCGAUUCCUUGUUAGACAACAUGUUUAGGGGUUAGUGUAUAAACAUUUGGGACUAAAAAUUGUCACAACUGUAAAAUUUAAGCUAUGUAAUCUAUACAUUCAANNNNNNNNNNNNNNNNNNNNNNNNNNNNNNNNNNNNNNNNNNNNNNNNNNNNNNNNNNNNNNNNNNNNNNNNNNNNNNNNNNNNNNNNNNNNNNNNNNNNCCCGGACGUUUCCGCCGUCUGGUUCGGGGGUGUGACAAAAAUCAAUCAAGAAACACAAGUUAUAGGAGUUUACGGCCAAGGAACUUUCUUGGGUCUACUUUCCUAAACCCCUUAGCCUUAGAUAAAAGCAUGGAAGCUAUCCUACACAUGCAAGGGCCUCAAAUGAAUUUAAAACAACACCCCAUAGGAGUUUACAGUUGUAAACUCUAGGGGAUAUGGUCCUUUGGCUUUAAACUUCCCAAAGGAGCAUUCCAAGGCCUUAAACUACUUCAAGUAUUAUUCCAACAAGGCUAGGCUUAUUCUAGGAUCAAGAUAACACCUCAAAACACCCAAAACCACCAUGUGAGGAGUUCACGGCCGUAAACCCAUGGGUUCAUGGCCGUAAACUCCAAUGAGUAGGGUUUGUUGGGUGGUGAACUCAUAUACAAGGCCAUUUGUGGUUUAAACCCCUUUUGCCUUGUCCCGUAUCAACUUAGAUGCAACCAUUAGGACCUAUAACACUUAUAUAAAGUGUAUACAUGUUCCUAAGAGUUUUAACUUACUUUGUUAGGUUAUUAUUUGGCUAAUUAGUGAUAUAUAUGCUUAUUAUAUGAUAACUAGGCUCGAACAUGUGAACAAGUCUCCGUUUGCCACUUAGCACGGUACCCGAUACAUCAAUUCAAUCUACUCACCACAAGUGAGUUUAUAACCCUUUAAUCAACCUUUGAAAUACUUUUAAAAUGUUUUAAAUACUUUAUGGGGGGAAUACAAGUCAAAUACUUAUAGUUAUUACAUCAAUCACAUGUGAUUGCAUUAAUCACAUGUGAUUAAUAACUAGAAAACCAAUGAUUUUACCACUGUUCAACUGUUUAUCAAACUGUUUCUCUUCAAAUGUUUUACAACCCUUUUUACUUAUCAAAUGCUUUUAUUAAACUUGUUUUACUUCUUAUAAAUUGCAUGCACAUAUAUGUAUAUAUAUAUAAGUAAUGUUUAAAGGGCUUAGGAAAGCCAUCCACCCUAUUUCCUUUUCCUCGAUUUAGAUGUGGUCUGGUGGGAUUUCGGGUGACCAUCCGAGGUUCGUUUCCAUAUUAGUUAUAUAUCAUAUAUACAUGUAUAGACAUAAAAGUACUUCUAUAUUCAUAUUUAUCAGUACAUCAAUAGCUAGUUACCAUCAGGGUAACACAAUACAUAUACAACUAUACUAGAAACAAUACAUAUACAAUGAUGCUAGAAACAAUACAUAUACAACUAUACUAGAAACAAUACAUAUACAAUGAUGCUAGAAACAAUACAUAUACAACUAUACUAGAAACAAUACAUAUACAAUGAUGCUAUAAACAAUACAUAUACAAUGAUGCUAGAAACAAUACAUAUACAAUGAUGCUAGAAACAAUACAUAUACAAUGAUGCUAGAAACAAUACAUAUACAAGAAUACUUUAUUUAUUGUGAUUUAAAUCGGAGCAUGACUUAACUGUCAUGGCUCGAGUUGUAGCCAGAAUUCUCUUGAAGGGAGAGCGUGAGUUGGCGUAUAGAUCUAUACUGAAUUGACAAUCCUACACCUUGCUGCUAGCUACAGUCGGACCUGCAGGUCUGCGGGUGCCAAACGUCAUUCCGUUAUUACGACCAUUCAUUAUGUCGUUGUUACUUGCCGAUAGUAUGGUGCAAUUUAUCACAUAAUGCCUUAAUAUAAAUCCGGUUUAAGGUAGUUAGUACAACAGUAGUUCUUAUAAUACAAGGCUACAGUACUACAAUGAUUUACCCAUUACAUAUUUUUAGUGAUAACCUCACUUAAACAUUUAUGUACAAACUAUAUUUUGUUAAAUGAUAGUUACACUUGGGAAAUUACACACUUUUACAUCAAACGAGCAUACAAAACAGUUAAGCCUUGGUAGAAGGCUACUUUAAUAGAAAAUAUAGGUUUUUCUGAGAGAUUCAAACUUUUACAAACACUUACAAACAUUUACAUACAUUUUACAAACUUACACUUGAGACAUGUUCAAACGUUUUGAUAACAAACACCGACACUAAAAUACUUAUGAACUCACCAGCUUAAUGCUGAUAAACUCUUUCAAAAUAACUUGUAUUCUCAGGUCAUCAGUAGACAGGUACCGAGGCCAGCUUUUGAGAAGAUGGAGCGCAUUCAAGACUCAUCUUAUUAUUUUGAUUUACGUUAUUUUUGUGUCUAUAACUGUACAUAACACGCUUGUAUUAAAAUUAUAUAUUUAAUGCAAUGGAUGAUGUUGUUUGCUUAUUUACAUUUACUGUGUUGUGAUACUUACAUGACGUCCUCCGCCCCAGAACGUUUCCGCCGUUCUUGGUUUUGGGGUGUGACAGAUUGGUAUCAGAGCAUUGUUUUUAGUGAAUCAAGUGUAUCAACCCAUAAAAGAUAUACUAAACUAUAAACCCAUUUGGGAUUAAAACACUCUGACCAAGAGUCUAUACUUAAAAUACUAAAAUAUUUAAUUAAGUAUACUUGUGUACAUUCAUACAAAAACCAGUUUCACAACGACAAGAACAAAAGUAUUACGAUUGUUAAAUAUCACAGGUAAGCUCGGGGAUAUAUGGUCAGUCCUGGGAAUGGCAUAGCCUGAUCAACUAUGCUGGUCCGAGGAGUGAUUAGCAUAUGCCCUAGAAUGGUUGUGAUGUGUUAACAAGUCUAAAAACUUACCAACAAUACCACAAGAAGAUUAGUAGAACUUAAACUUAAAAUACUAUAGGUGUAUUUUGUACUACCAACUACAUGUAUACUAUAUCUUUAUACCUCUCUUCUCACGUAGAUUUAAAUGGCUGGAUUCCAUCACGGUGACCCGUACUUUCCAAAUGAAGGCAACGCAGGAUGGCUCGAAGCAGAGUCUGACGAUGAACACCCAAUCCCGUUGGAUGAUCAUCAAGCUAAAGGCUUCUCGGAUGGAUUAGACUCUGAGCCCGAAGUCAACAACCUACCUCCAGUAGGUCAAGCCCCGAACAACAACCCUCGACCAACUUUUCUAGGUCUCACUCCCUUGUGGGUAGAUAACUUGAAUCGCUGGAGUGACGAACAGGGUCAACCCUUACCAUACUUUGGGGACCGAACCUUUUACAACGUCAGCGAUGGCGGCGCUGCUGACCGAGCUCUACCUGUCAUUAUCCGCAGAAUAGCUCGUAAUGUCGAGCAAGGUCGAGCAGUCAUCGACCGGGUCCUGGAGAUUGAUGCCAACUCUGGUGUCAAUACAGUCCGCAUUCGCCGUCUCGAAGAACAUAUGGAACGGACCCGAAGAAUCAAUGAAACCCUACAACAACGUCUGGUUGCCUCUCAAGCAGAAGUCAUGGAACUUCGAGCUCGUUAAAGGGCUCAUGAGCGACACCUUCAAGAGGUUGUACGUCAAAUGAGAGACCUCAGGGUUCUCCCGAGGAAUACUCAUCGCUGUUAGAUGAUGUCUAGUACAUCAUUAUCUUUUCGGUUAAGGAUUAGCCUUUAACAUCCGUGCUCUAAGUAGCACAUAUCUGUAAAAUAUUCCUAACUUUCAGUACUCUAAUUAGGAAUCUAAGAACUGUCAAACUUUCUGUAUGGUAUGAUGUAAGACCUACUGUUAGGUCAAUUUUCAUUGAACUCAUUACAUCAGUAAUACCAGUAUUAUUGACAACUACCGACUCUGUGGGAAGAAUCGUUACAUUUGGGUUUUCCUACACAUCCUUCUGGUUAAGAUUUCAAACACUCAUUCAACUAUUGGGCUAUGGUUAGUUAGUCCAUGUGUCAUUCGCACAUUACUUACAAAUUGAUUCUUACCACCUUUCUCAUCUUUAUAAACUUAUAGCUGAAAGAUGCCUCCUCGCAAAUCUACCCGGAAUAACCCGACACCUACACCACCUCCGGUCAUCGAUACAGCAGCCCUAAAUGUUGCCGUAGCUGCAGCAGUGGCAACUGCCAUGGCACAAUAUCACUCUACUGAUGCCAGCAGAGGUGGAACCCCGGUUAACUCCAUUCCGGUUGAAACUCCUGUGCGCUCGAGAGAGUGCUCUUACAAGGAUUUCACCAACUGUAAGCCGAAACCCUUCCAUGGGACCGGUGGAGUCAUUGCUCUCUCGCAAUGGUUCGAGAAGACUGAAUUAGUCUUCGAAAUUUGUUCUUGCCCUGCUGCGAGCAAAGUCAAAUAUGCCGCAUGCACCUUCGAAGGGAAGGCACUGACGUGGUGGAACAGCCACGUUAAAUCUCUAACUCUCGUUGUGGCCAACGACAUAGGCUGGGAUACGAUGAAAGACCUCAUGAUUGAGGAAUACUGCCCGAGGGGCGAGAUCCAGAAACUAGAGCAGGAGCUUUGGAGCCUGACCAUGAAGGGCACCAACAUUAUAGCUUACACCGCCAGAUUUAACGAACUGGUGGCCCUCUUCCCUAAUAUGGUUCCCACUGAAGGGAAAAAGAUCGAACGGUACAUAUGGGGGCUAUUUCCUCCGCAUCAGGGGAAUGUCCUAUCAUCAAACCCCGCUACCUUCGACAGUGCCAAGUGACUGGCACAGCGACUCAUUGACCAUGGUGUCAAAACCUCUACAACCACAACAACCCUAGCCAUCUCGGAGCCUUCCAAACCCGCUGACACCAAGCGGAAGUUCUGGGAUGACAAGAAGAGGCAGCGAGCUGCCAAGAAGCAGCAAAUUGUGGCAGUACAUUCCGCGGUAACCCCUACUGCUACUGCUCCGACGAAGCAAUAUGCUGGAAGUUUGCCGAAGUGAAACAAAUGCAACUUCCACCACAACGGCCCUUGCCGUGAAAUGCAGUGCUCUAACUGCAACAGGAAAGGACACACCGUCCGUUUCUGUAAAUUCCCGACACAACCGAUCACGCAAGUCCCUGGCUCUAGCGCGAGCCCAACUUGCUAUGGAUGUGCCGGAAUAGGCCACUAUAAGAGGGACUGCCCCAAAGCGAGAAAUGCUGGAGGAGCAGGGAGGGUACUGGCUAUAGGCCACGGGGAAGCAGUUGCUGACCCGACAGUGGUGACUGGUACGUUCCUCCUCGAUAACUCCUAUGCAUGCAUUAUGUUCGAUAGUGGAGCGGAGCGAAGCUUCGUAAACCAAAAAUUUGCUCGCAUGCUUAAACCACAACCACACGCACUUAAAGAUCCAUUCAUUCCCAAUCGACCUCAUGCCGGUCUCAAUAAAAAGCUUCGACGUUAUCAUCGGCAUGGAUUGGUUAAGUCUUCAUCGCGCCGACAUCAUGUGCUUCGAGAAAGCAGUCCGACUAAACCUUCCGUCUAAUAAAACUCUUAUAGUCUACGGCGACAAACCUAGUGCGAGUCUUCGCAUUAUAUCAAGUAUUCAAGCCCAGAAAUAUCUGCGCAAAGAAUACCACACAUUCCUUGCUCACGUCGUCGACACGAACCUCGAAACGAAAGAACUCAAGAACAUUCCAGUAGUGAGCGACUUCCCCGACAUUUUCCCAGGAGAACUACCUGGAUUACCUCCGCAACGACAGGUUGAGUUCAGAAUCGACUUAGUCCCAGGAGCUACCCCAGUAGCCAAGUCGCCCUACCGCUUAGCACCAGCAGAGAUGCAGGAAUUAUCUGGUCAACUUAACGAACUACUCAGCAAAGGCUUCAUAAGACCAAGCUUCUCACCUUGGGGAGCACCGUUCUUGUUCGUUAAGAAGAAAGACAGAUCAUUCCGUAUGUGUAUCGACUACAGAGAACUCAACAAACUGACGGUCAAAAAUCGUUACCCUCUACCUCGCAUAGACCAACUGCAAAGGGCGAACUAUUUUUCCAAAGUUGAUUUAAGAUCCGGAUAUCACCAGUUACGAGUGCUCGAGGAGGAUGUGCCGAAGACAGCCUUCCGAACUCGUUACGGACAUUACGAGUUCGUGGUGAUGCCAUUCGGAUUGACCAAUGCGCCAGCAAUCUUCAUGGAUCUGAUGAAUAGAGUAUGCCGACCUUACUUGGAUCAGUUNNNNNNNNNNNNNNNNNNNNNNNNNNNNNNNNNNNNNNNNNNNNNNNNNNNNNNNNNNNNNNNNNNNNNNNNNNNGAGAAACUUUAUGCGAAGUUCUCGAAAUGUGAAUUUUGGAUCCGAAGAGUCGAAUUCUUAGGACACGUGGUAAGCGAAGAGGGAAUCCACGUGGACCCAUCCAAAAUUAAAGCCAUUGAGAACUGGUCAGCACCAAAGACGCCUACAGAAAUUCGUCAAUUUCUAGGCCUCGCUGGCUACUACCGCAGAUUCAUACAGAACUUCUCCCGAAUAGCGAAACCUCUUACAACCCUGACCCAGAAAGGCGUGGCCUUUGACUGGGAAGAGAAACAAGAGAGAGCGUUCCAAACGCUCAAACGAGCCUUGUGCACCGCGCCAAUACUAUCUCUCCUCGAAGUGAUAGAAGACUUUGUAGUCUAUUGCGAUGCAUCGAACCAAGGGCUCAGGUGUGUUCUGAUGCAGCGAGGUAAGGUCAUCGCCUACGCCUCGAGACAAUUGAAGACACACGAGGUUAACUACACGACCCACGAUCUUGAACUAGGAGCAGUAGUGUUUGCUCUGAAGAUCUGGAGACAUUACUUGUAUGGAACGAAGAGCACUAUCUUUACCGACCACAAGAGUUUACAACACAUUUUCGAUCAGAAGGAGCUCAACAUGAGACAACGACGGUGGGUCGAGCUACUCAGUGACUACGAAUGCGAUAUUCGUUAUCAUACGGGUAAAGCCAACGUAGUAGCAAACGCCCUGAGUCGGAAAGAAUAUUCUGGUCGCAAGGUCAAGUCAUUGUCGAUAACCAUCCAUUCACACUUGUCUAACCAAAUUCAGGCGGCCCAACUUGAAGCAAUGAAACCUGAAAAUGUGACGAGUGAAUCCCUCAGAGGAAUGGACAAGAAUUUAGAAGCCAAGGGUGACGGAGCUUUAUAUUUCAUGAACCGGAUCUGGACACCGAAACACGGUGGUUUCCGAGACUUGGUCAUGACCGAGGCGCACAACACUCGGUAUUCCGUCCACCCAGGUUCAGAUAAGAUGUAUCUGGAUCUUAAAAAGCUAUACUGGUGGCCUAAUAUGAAAGCAGAGAUUGCUACCUUCGUAAGUAAAUGCCUUACUUGCGCAAAGGUAAAGGUCGAGUACCAGAAGCCCUCCGGUUUACUGCAACAGCCAGAGAUUCCAGAAUGGAAGUGGGAGCGGAUCACUAUGGAUUUCAUAACCAAGUUGCCCAAGACAAUGGGUGGACUUGAUACCAUAUGGGUCAUCGUUGAUAGAUUGACCAAGUCUGCACACUUCCUGCCUAUCAAAGAAACCGACAAGAUGGAGAAACUAACGAGAACAUACAUUAGGGAAAUCGUACGACUACAUGGUGUGCCUAUAUCCAUUAUCUCCGAUCGAGAUAGUAGGUUCACCUCUAGAUUCUGGCAAUCACUGCAACAUUUCCUAGGAACAAGGCUGGACAUGAGCACAGCCUACCAUCCACAGAUUGACGGACAGAGUCAGAGGACGAUCCAGACUUUAGAAGAUAUGCUGCGUGCUUCUGUAAUUGACUUCGGAAAAGUGUGGGAUACUCAUUUACCUCUCGUCGAAUUUUCCUACAACAACAGUUAUCACACGAGCAUAAAAGCAGCACCAUUUGAAGCUCUCUACGGCCGAAAGUGCAGAUCCCCUACGCUUCGGUAAGCGUGGGAAGCUUAAUCCUAGGUACAUAGGGCCUUUCGAGAUUCUCGCAAGAGUCGGCCCCGUUGCUUACAAACUUGAUCUACCCGACACACUUCGUAACGUACAUUCUACAUUCCACGUAUCUAACUUGAAAAAGUGUCUGUCCGACGAGACCCUCGUAAUCCCACUCGACGAGAUCGAGAUCAACGAGAGCCUCAACUUUGUGGAAGAACCUGUAGAGAUCAUGGGCCGUGAGGUCAAGCAGAUGAAACAAAGCCGUAUCCCUAUCGUGAAGGUUCCCUGGAACGCCAAGCGAGGACCGGAAUUCACUUGGGAACGCGAGGAUCAGAUGAAACUGAAAUAUCCUCAUCUUUUCGCUUAGUUAUUUGUAACUUCCUAUUUGCUUAAAUUCUAAUUUCGGGACGAAAUUCCUUCUAACGGGGGAUGAUGUGACAACCCGAAAUUUCCAUUUGUACGAACAUUAUCUAUUCAAUAGAAGCUAGUCCAGUUUCUGUAAUUUUCAGACUUGUCCGAACAAGUUUGCUUACUUUAGGGCUUACGUUUCUGGACAUAUCAGGAGAGUGGAUGCUCCUGUAAUUGUGAAACUUGAGCAUUGUAAGUUUCAUAAUGUUAUAGUCCGACUUCCGGAAUAAAAAUAUUUUCUGUCAAAAUAUUUCAGGACUAUAAAUAGAUUUCUGAAUUUAAUUAAUUCAUUAUUCACAAUUCCAACUAGAGAAACGCCAAUUCUCUCUGACGGAUCUUCGGGUUUUCAUCUCGGAUUGUGAUUCUACUUUCCUAAACGUGUUUCAAUACUUGUUAUAUGCUUUAUAACAUCAAUUAUAUGUCUAAACUGCAAGAUUCGAGAGUUUACCGCCCAAGAACGUUCUUGGGGNNNNNNNNNNNNNNNNNNNNNNNNNNNNNNNNNNNNNNNNNNNNNNNNNNNNNNNNNNNNNNNNNNNNNNNNNNNNNNNNNNNNNNNNNNNNNNNNNNNNAAACAAAAUAAUGUCAACAUGAUAGGUUGUAAACCUCAACUCGUGCUAGUGUUGAUCGAUAAGGUUUAUUUGAUUUGUUCU
rnacentral:lncRNA from 1 species